CCUACGGGCGGCAGCAGUGGGGAAUAUUGGGCAAUGGGCGCAAGCCUGACCCAGCAACGCCGCGUGAAGGAAGAAGGCUUUCGGGUUGUAAACUUCUUUUGACAGGGAAGAGUAGAAUACCGUACCUGUCGUAUAAGGCACGGCUAACUACGGGCCAGCAGCCGGGGUAAUACGUAGGGGGCAAGCGUUUUCCGGAUUUACUGGGUGUAAAGGGCGGGUAGCCGGGUAGGCAAGUCAGAUGUGAAAGCCUUCGGCUUAACCGAAGAACUGCAUUACAAACUAUUGAGCUUGAGUACAGGAGAGGAAGGCGGAAUUCCUAGUGUAGCGGUGAAAUGCGUAGAUAUUAGGAGGAACACCAGUGGCGAAGGCGGUCUGCUGGACAGCAACUGACGGUGAGGCGCGAAAGCGUGGGGAGCAAACAGGAUUAGAUACCCCAGUAGUC
rnacentral:rRNA from 1 species